CCAGACUCCUACGGGAGGCAGCAGUGGGGAAUAUUGCACAAUGGGCGCAAGCCUGAUGCAGCCAUGCCGCGUGUAUGAAGAAGGCCUUCGGGUUGUAAAGUACUUUCAGCGGGGAGGAAGGCGAUAAGGUUAAUAACCUUGUUGAUUGACAUUACCCACAGAAGAAGCACCGGCUAACUCCGUGCCAGCAGCCGCGGUAAUACGGAGGGUGCAAGCGUUAAUCGGAAUUACUGGGCGUAAAGCGCACGCAGGCGGUCUGUCAAGUCGGAUGUGAAAUCCCCGGGCUCAACCUGGGAACUGCAUUCGAAACUGGCAGGCUGGAGUCUUGUAGGGGGGGGUAGAAUUCCAGGUGUAGCGGUGAAAUGCGUAGAGAUCUGGAGGAACACCGGUGGCGAAGGCGGCCCCCUGGACAAAGACUGACGCUCAGGUGCGAAAGCGUGGGGAGCAAACAGGAUUAGAUACCCGUGUAGU
rnacentral:rRNA from 1 species